rnacentral:tRNA from 1 species
GGGGCAGUAGCUCAGCUGGGAGAGCGCUUCCCUCGCACGGAAGAGGUCGGCGGUUCGAAUCCGCUCUGCUCCACCA